rnacentral:lncRNA from 13 species
CCAUGUGUCCUUUGCUGUGAUCUGCUCAGGAGGCUAGCCUCAAGCACCUGUCACUUCCUUGCUGGGUGACAGUGGAAAUACUAUUUUCAUGGCUCUGGCUAUGAACAUCAGCAUAUAGAGGAUGGAUCA